AAAUAAAUUUCCAACGUCUAACACACAUCGUUUACGGCAUGGACUACGAGGGUAUCUAAUCCUCUUCGCUACCCAUGCUUUCGUUCCUCAGUGUCAGUAAUGAUCCAGAAAGCUGCCUUCGCAAUUGGUAUUCUUUCUAAUAUCUACGAAUUUCACCUCUACACUAGAAAUUCUGCUUUCCUCUAUCAUACUCUAGCUGAAAAGUUUUGAUGGCAGUUCCAGAGUUAAGCUCUGGGAUUUCACCACCAACUUUUUCAACCACCUACGAACUCUUUAAGCCCAGUAAUUCCGAACUACGCUAGGUCCCUUCGUAUUACCGCGGCUGCUGGCACGAAGUUAGCCGGACCUUCUUAUUCGGGUACAGUCAUUUUCUUCCCCGACGAAAGAGCUUUACAACCCAAAGGCCUUCUUCACUCACGCGGCAUCGCUGCAUCAGAGUUUCCUCCAUUGUGCAAGAUUCCCCACUGCUGCCUCCCGUAGGAGUUUGGGCCGUGUCUCAGUCCCAAUGUGGCUGAUCAUCCUCUCAAAUCAGCUAUUGAUCAUAGUCUUGGUAGACCAUUACCCUACCAACAAACUAAUCAAGUGCGGGCUCAUCCAAUGGUGCAUAAAGCUUUCUCCGUAAAGACUUAUCCGGUAUUAGCACAAGUUUCCUCGUGUUAUUCCAGGCCAAAGGGUAGAUACCCACAUGUUACUCACCCGUCUGCCACUAAGUAUUGCUACUUCGUUCGACUUGCAUGUGUUAGGCGUGCCGCCAGCGUACGUUCUGAGCCAGGAUCAAACUCU
rnacentral:rRNA from 1 species